GACGGGGAGCUUGCUCCCCCGACGUUAGCGGCGGACGGGUGAGUAACACGUGGGUAACCUACCUAUAAGACUGGAAUAACUCCGGGAAACCGGGGCUAAUGCCGGAUAACAUGUUGGACCGCAUGGUCCUACAGUGAAAGACGGUCUUGCUGUCACUUAUAGAUGGACCCGCGCCGUAUUAGCUAGUUGGUAAGGUAACGGCUUACCAAGGCAACGAUACGUAGCCGACCUGAGAGGGUGAUCGGCCACACUGGAACUGAGACACGGUCCAGACUCCUACGGGAGGCAGCAGUAGGGAAUCUUCCGCAAUGGGCGAAAGCCUGACGGAGCAACGCCGCGUGAGUGAUGAAGGCCUUCGGGUCGUAAAACUCUGUUAUUAGGGAAGAACAAAUGUGUAAGUAACUAUGCACGUCUUGACGGUACCUAAUCAGAAAGCCACGGCUAACUACGUGCCAGCAGCCGCGGUAAUACGUAGGUGGCAAGCGUUAUCCGGAAUUAUUGGGCGUAAAGCGCGCGUAGGCGGUUUCUUAAGUCUGAUGUGAAAGCCCACGGCUCAACCGUGGAGGGUCAUUGGAAACUGGGAAACUUGAGUGCAGGAGAGGAAAGUGGAAUUCCAUGUGUAGCGGUGAAAUGCNCAGAGAUAUGGAGGAACACCAGUGGCCGAAGGCGACUUUCUUGGUCUGCUACUUGACGCCUGAUGUGCGAAAU
rnacentral:rRNA from 1 species